rnacentral:lncRNA from 1 species
UGGGCUGUCCGGCAGCAGGGCAUUGCUGCCGCCAUUCCUCGCGCCCAGUACCCCAUCUUUCCACUACGCCCCAUCAGCAGCCGCGCCGCCCCUAAUCGUCGGCCUCGGCAGAGGAGGGGAACCGCGUUGCCGACUUCGGCUUGAUCCCCUCAAUCCUCGUCGGUGGAGGUAAUUAACCAACUCCCUUAUCAAUUACUCGCUCGGCCAGCAAUUCAAUGAUGAAACACUCACACAUGGGUUCUUCAGUAGGGACAAGCAUGGCAGGGCAAGGAUAAGGUUUGGGAUGAACCACACCAACGUCAGGCAGGUCAAUGUAACCUCUGUAUUGCAAUUUACGCGAUGAUUUGGUGCAGCGGAAUGGCAUUAUAUGGUGAGCCGAAAACCAAAUGGGAUUAAACAUGGCAUAGCUGAUGUAGAUGUAGUGAUGUGUAUAUGUCUUGCUGAUGUAGUGAUGUAGUGAUGUGUGUAUGUCUUGGUACAGUAGGACAUUUUCAUGGCUUGGGUUCAUCAGUUGGCGGGUGGUGCAGAGGAAAAACCAAUUGUUAGGAGGCAUCAUUAUAGUUCACAUGUUUCCUUACCGAUCCCAGUUCUUGCCCUGUGAUUAUUUUGUCAUGAAGCUUAUCUU